rnacentral:rRNA from 1 species
GAUGAACGCUAGCGGCAGGCUUAAUACAUGCAAGUCGAGGGGCAGCAGGGUGUAGCAAUACAUCGCUGGCGACCGGCAAACGGGUGCGGAACACGUACACAACUUUCCUUUAAGUGGGGGAUAGCCCAGAGAAAUUUGGAUUAAUACCCCGUAAUAUUAUGAAGUGGCAUCAUUUUAUAAUUAUAGCUCCGGCGCUUGAAGAUGGGUGUGCGGCUGAUUA